AUUCUUAAAUUUAUACAACUGUAUAUCAAAAAAUAUUCAAACUGUUUUCUCUUCUAAACAAAAGCCUGAUUUUUAGGAACUUGGUACACAUGGACACCCCAAGCGGGACUUACACAAGGAUCACAAAGCUAUAUAGGGCAAACAACACCUCUAAAAAACACAAGGAUCAAUAAGUUGUCCAGAAAAACCUACAGAAGCGGAGGAAAUAAG